GUGGACUUAGAUGGUGUAGGUAGUGGACUUAGAUGGUGUAGGUAGUGGUCUUAGAUGGUGUAGGUAGUGGUCUUAGAUGGUGUAGGUAGUGGACUUAGAUGGUGUAGGUAGUGGUCUUAGAUGGUGUAGGUAGUGGUCUUAGAUGGUGUAGGUAGUGGACUUAGAUGGUGUAGGUAGUGGUCUUAGAUGGUGUAGGUAGUGGUCUUAGAUGGUGUAGGUAGUGGACUUAGAUGGUGUAGGUAGUGGUCUUAGAUGGUGUAGGUAGUGGACUUAGA